rnacentral:rRNA from 1 species
GAUGAACGCUGGCGGCGUGCCUAAUACAUGCAAGUCGAGCGAACAGACGAGGAGCUUGCUCCUCUGACGUUAGCGGCGGACGGGUGAGUAACACGUGGAUAACCUACCUAUAAGACUGGGAUAACUUCGGGAAACCGGAGCUAAUACCGGAUAAUAUAUUGAACCGCAUGGUUCAAUAGUGAAAGACGGUUUUGCUGUCACUUAUAGAUGGAUCCGCGCCGCAUUAGCUAGUUGGUAAGGUAACGGCUUACCAAGGCAACGAUGCGUAGCCGACCUGAGAGGGUGGUCGCCCACACUGGAACUGAGCCAGGGACCAGACUCCUACGGGGGGCACAAGUGGGGAACUUUCGCCAAUGGGCGAAGGCCUGACGGAGCAAGGCGGCGUGGGUGAUGAAGGUCUUCGGUUCGUAAAACUCUUUUAUUGGGAAAGAACAAAUGUGAAAGUAAAUAUCCCCGUUUUGACGGUACCUAAUCAAAAAGCAACGGCUAACUCCGUG